ACAAGUGUAAGACUAGAUUAAAUUGCAAGUUUAAGCUUUGGGGCACCCCUUAUACUU
rnacentral:tRNA from 1 species